UACCUGAUUGAUUCUGUCAGCGCGAUAUGCUCAAGUAAAAGAUUAAGCCAUGCAUGCUUUGAUUCAUAAAUGAAAUUGCGUACGGCUCAUUAGAGCAGAUAUCACCUUUCUCGGAAUCCUGAAAAGGAUAACUGCGGAAAUUCUGGAGCUAAUACAUGCGACUAUACUCCAACGCAAAGACGGGGUGCAAUUAUUAGAACAGACCAAACGUUUUCGGACGUUGUUUGUUGACUCUGAAUACCGUCGUUUACUGUCAGUUUCGACUGACUCUAUCCGAGAAGGGUGUCUGCCCUUUCAACUAGAUGGUAAUCUAUUGGACUACCAUGGUUGUUACGGGUAACGGAGAAUUAGGGUUCGACUCCGGAGAGGGAGCCUUAGAAACGGCUACCACGUCCAAGGAAGGCAGCAGGCGCGAAACUUAUCCACUGUUGAGUAUGAGAUAGUGACUAAAAAUAUAAAGACUCAUCCUUUUGGAUGAGUUAUUUCAAUGAGUUGAAUAUAAAUUAUUCUUCGAGUAGCAAGGAGAGGGCAAGUCUGGUGCCAGCAGCCGCGGUAAUUCCAGCUCUCCUAGUGUAUCUCGUUAUUGCUGCGGUUAAAAAGCUCGUAGUUGGAUCUAGGUUACGUGCCGCAGUUCGCAAUUUGCGUUAACUGUGGUCGUGACUUCUAAUUUGCUGGUUUGAGGUUGGGUUCGCCCUUCAACUGCCAGCAGGUUUACCUUGAAUAAAUCAGAGUGCUCAAUACAGGCGCUUGCUUGAAUAGCUCAUCAUGGAAUAAUGAAACAGGACUUCGGUUCUUUUUGUUGGUUCUAGAAUUGAUCUAAUGGUUAAGAGGGACAAAC
rnacentral:ncRNA from 1 species